CGUAAACCCAAGGGUUCCUGGGUAAAGAUAAUCUGCUCAGGGUUAGUCGGUCCCUAAGGCGAGGCCGAAAGGCGUAGUCGAUGGGAAGCAGGCGAACAUUCCUGCACCGGCACGGAUGGUUCCACGAGGAGGGACGGAGGAGGAUAGUCGAGCACCCUAGAGGAUGGGUGUUCAAGCCAGUAGGCUGGGUGCGUAGGAGGCGAUGGCCACAAAACGCGCGCCCGAGGCCGAGAGGUGAUGAGGUUGGCUCUCCGGAGCCAAUAACUCGAUGAUUCCAAGCUUCCAGGAAAAGCUUCGCGUGGGUUAACCGCUGUGCCGACCGUACCCAAAACCGACACAGGUGGGUGGGGAGAAGAUCCCAAGGCGCUCGAGAGAACUCGGGUUAAGGAACUCGGCAAAAUCACACCGUAACUUAGGGAGAAGGUGUACCCCAGUUGGUGAAGGGCUAGCGCCCGGAGCCGAAGGGGGUUGCAGUGAAUCGGGGGUAG
rnacentral:rRNA from 1 species